rnacentral:sRNA from 1 species
CUUUUCAGUCGGGCGCUGAGUGGUUUUUCGGAUCAUGUCUGGUGGCUCCGCGGAUUAUAACAGCAGAGAACAUGGCGGCCCAGAGGGAAUGGACCCCGAUGGUGUCAUCGAGAGCAACUGGAAUGAGAUUGUUGAUAACUUUGAUGAUAUGAAUUUAAAGGAGUCUCUUCUUCGUGGCAUCUAUGCUUACGGUUUUGAGAAGCCUUCCGCUAUUCAGCAGAGAGCUAUUAUUCCCUGUAUUAAAGGUAAAAGAAACUGGCAUUUUUAGGAAAUUGUUGUACAUAGACAUGAACCAUAAAAGGGAAAGUAACCUCUGGGGGACUAGCACCUGUUUGUAUUCCUUAAAGUGAAAUGAUGGCAAUCAUCUUUCGGGACUGACCUGAAAUGAAGAGAAUACUCAUUGCUGAUCACUUGAUUAUUUGGGCAUAAUUCAUGUUCCAAAUGGAAUACAUGGUGUGAAGUAGAAGUGACAAUUUGAUGUGGGAUCGGUAAAUAUGUAUCCUACUUUUUUUAGGGUAUGAUGUGAUUGCUCAAGCUCAGUCAGGUACUGGCAAGACAGCCACAUUUGCUAUUUCCAUCCUGCAACAGUUGGAG